CUCUUGGUCCUCAGCUCUUUUGUGAGAAGCAGUGCUGUAUAGCCAGAGAGCCUCUUCGCCAGUUGGGAAAUCAAAGUAAGUGCUUCAGGGGCAUGAAGAAGAAACCACUGUUCCUGAGUUUAUGUUUAAGUUCUUCUUUCCUCCUUUGGAGGGAGGAAAUUGGAUUUAUCCUGAGGGAAAGGUCACCCUAGAUGAGUACUUAAAUGGUUCUGUAAUUACUUCUCAGCUGCAGAGAGGAACAGGAUCUUCUGUUCUCUUCUUCAUCCAGGGAGGUAGACCUUUACCCUCAGGAACUGAGCUGUGGGUUUGUACUUCUGAGAGCAGAAGGAAACAGGAUGUCGUAUACCCUUGUCCAUUAGUGCUUGAAAGGAGUUCAGUCUAAAAUUUUGAGUCCUAUUGCAAGACAUUUGAAAAUGGAAAAAAUGUUGUAUAGUGCUUGUCAUCCUUUCAUUGCUUCCGGAGUGCCUUCAUUAGCAACCCUGUAAAAUCCUGUGCUUUAUCAGAUUUCAUUUAUCACCAUUAAGGAUGACCCCAUCAUGUCUGUCCAUUGUCCACUUGCUCACAUAUUACCUCAUAGCUGUCAAACAAGUAAUAGGUGGAGGUCCAUUGGGCUGGUACUUCCUGUUCACUUUCAGAUGUACUGAUAAAAGGGUUGCUUGGAUGUCCCUCAGGGUUUGAGAUUCUGUCAAGCUAAGGCUGAAGGGUUGGCCUUUCUCCGUCUGUAUUUUAAACACACGUAUGCUCAUCUCAAUAUCAGCUGUGUGAAAGCAAAACUCCCAAAUCUAGAAAUACAAGCUUGUAUUAAUAUGCAGUUUCUUUGUGAACUGCUUGCUCAUCCUUGAGUCUUAACAAUAAAAAAGACCAGUGAUU
ensembl:lncRNA